rnacentral:rRNA from 1 species
UACGUAGGGGGCGAGCGUUGUCCGGAAUCAUUGGGCGUAAAGCGCGUGUAGGCGGUCCGAUAAGUUCGCUGUGAAAGUCGGGGGCUUAACCCUCGGAUGCCGGUGAAUACUGUCGGGCUUGAGCACGGAAGAGGCGAGUGGAAUUCCUGGUGUAGCGGUGAAAUGCGCAGAUAUCAGGAGGAACACCAAUGGCGAAGGCAGAUCUCUGGGCCGUAACUGACGCUGAGGAGCGAAAGCAUGGGGGAGCGAACAGG